rnacentral:rRNA from 1 species
GAUGAACGCUAGCGGCAGGCUUAAUACAUGCAAGUCGUGGGGCAGCAGGGGUAGCAAUACCCGCUGGCGACCGGCAAACGGGUGCGGAACACGUACGCAACCUUCCUUUAACUGGAGAAUAGCCCCUCGAAAGAGGGAUUAAUACUCCGUAACAUAUAGAUGUGGCAUCACAAUUAUAUUAUAGCUCCGGCGGUUAAAGAUGGGCGUGCGCCUGAUUAGAUAGUUGGCAGGGUAACGGCCUACCAAGUCUGCGAUCAGUAACUGGUGUGAGAGCACGACCAGUCACACGGGCACUGAGACACGGGCCCGACUCCUACGGGAGGCAGCAGUAAGGAAUAUUGGUCAAUGGACGCAAGUCUGAACCAGCCAUGCCGCGUGGAGGAUUAAGGGCCCUCUGGGUUGUAAACUCCUUUUAUCUGGGAAGAAAUGCAUUUUUCUAAAGUGCUUGACGGUACCAGAGGAAUAAGCACCGGCUAACUCCGUG